UACAGAGGGGGCAAGCGUUGUUCGGAAUUACUGGGCGUAAAGGGCGCGUAGGCGGCCUUCUAAGUCGAACGUGAAAUCUCCGGGCUUAACUCGGAAAGGUCAACUGAUACUGUGCGACUAGAGUGCAGAAGGGGCAACUGGAAUUCUCGGUGUAGCGGUGAAAUGCGCAGAUAUCAGGAGGAACACCGGUGGCGAAGGCGGGUCUCUGGGCCGAUACUGACGCUGAGGAGCGAAAGCGUGGGGAGCGAACAGG
rnacentral:rRNA from 1 species